GAAUUGACGGGACCCGCACAAGCGGUGGAUGAUGUGGUUUAAUUCGAUGCAACGCGAAAAACCUUACCCACCUUUGACAUGUACGGAAUCCUUUAGAGAUAGAGGAGUGCUCGAAAGAGAACCGGAACACAGGUGCUGCAUGGCUGUCGUCAGCUCGUGUCGUGAGAUGUUGGGUUAAGUCCCGCAACGAGCGCAACCCUUGUCAUUAGUUGCCAUCAUUUGGUUGGGCACUCUAAUGAGACUGCCGGUGACAAACCGGAGGAAGGUGGGGAUGACGUCAAGUCCUCAUGGCCCUUAUGGGUAGGGCUUCACACGUCAUACAAUGGUCGGUACAAAGGGUUGCCAACCCGCGAGGGGGAGCUAAUCCCACAAAGCCGAUCGUAGUCCGGAUCGCAGUCUGCAACUCGACUCCAUGAAGUUGGAAUCGCUAGUAAUCGCGGAUCAGCACGCCGCGGUGAAUACGUUCCCGGGCCUU
rnacentral:rRNA from 1 species